rnacentral:lncRNA from 1 species
UAGGAACUAAUGGUAUACAUUAUAAACGACUUGUCAAUCUAUACCAACAGAUAUGGUUUCUACAACAGAUGUAAUCUACAUAAUUAAAUCACAGUUCUAUACUGAAUAAAAAGAAUAAUCAUAACACAAUGACAAAUGUUGCAUAUUGUGGUCCUUGGCUUCUGAAGUAUCUGGCUACAUAUUACUGAUUGUAGGAUUGAUGUUUUGUUUUAUUCUUAUUUUUUUUAGAAUGUGAUUUUUUUGCAUUUUGUUACUAAUUUCCUAAAAUCAGAGGCAAAUGUAGAAAUUUAGAUAUCAAUUUGUUAUGCAUUCACUCACUUAUAAAAUAAUUAGAAGAAAGCAAUGGCAAGCAACUAUAAUGUCAAGUAAUUAUACAUUUUCAAAAUGUCAGUGACAAAAGAGUUUGUGAAUGUAAAUUUCUUUAUCUUAACUCAAACAAGUACUUAGAGAGCUCCCCCCUUCUAACUCAGUCCUUCUGAAAAGAUUUUACACACUGAAAGGAUGAGAGGGGGAUCCCACAAACACUGCCCACCCUAGGUAGUGCAAGGCAAUUUGGAAGCUGUGAUUGUUUCCCAUGAAGUGGGGGAGAGACAGGAAUUGAUGUGGAAAAAGGACUACAAAAGAUCAUAUCUUGCUAUAUUCCUCUCUCUUCUGAUUUGGAGACAUUCCUGUCUUGGCUUUUGGAGGGACUCUUUCCAUGGAGAUUCCUGCCUUGGCUUUUGGAGAGACUCUUUUCUUGGAUUCAGUGUGGAUUACCAAUGCUCUUUUUGAACUGUGAUAUCCAGAUCUGAACGCAAACUUUCACAUGAGGUUUAAUAAGAACAGAACCAAUCUGCUACCAGCACCAUUACCAUAAUCAUCAUCAUCAUCAUCAUCAUCAUUAUCAUCAUCAUCAUCAUCAUCAUCAUCCCCACUGCCACACAAUCAUCAUCACCAUCAUCAUACCUUCAUCAAGUAUUUGUUGAGUGCUUGUCUAUACAAUGAACUGUGCUAAGUAAGCAAAAUCUACAAAGUAAGGCAAGACCAUAAUUCCUACCCUCGAGGAACUCAUAUUUGAAUGGGGUGACAAAAUUCUUGGAAUAUUGUUCUUAGAAAAUAUACAGUUGUAAAUGAGAAAUAAUUGCAAUAGGAAGUCACUAGCUAUGGAAGUUCAGGGUGUGAAAAAGUUUCUUUAAGGUAGAAUUUAAGUGAAAUCCUGAAAGCUGCAAGGGAAAGUAAGGGGAAAAAAUGAAGAGGGAGAGCAUUUACUGUUAAGUUGCCAAGGAAAAGGUACAGUCAGAAGGUAAAGUUUUAAACAUAAGAAAUAACAGAGAGACCAGGGCCAUUGGAUUGCAUAUUGCACAAAGGGAAAUAAACAAUAACACAGGAAAUGUAGUAAGGGUUCA